rnacentral:rRNA from 1 species
CGUGCUUAACACAUGCAAGUCGAACGGAAAGGCCCUGCUUUUGUGGGGUGCUCGAGUGGCGAACGGGUGAGUAACACGUGAGUAACCUGCCCUUGACUUUGGGAUAACUUCAGGAAACUGGGGCUAAUACCGGAUAGGAGCUCCUGCUGCAUGGUGGGGGUUGGAAAGUUUCGGCGGUUGGGGAUGGACUCGCGGCUUAUCAGCUUGUUGGUGGGGUAGUGGCUUACCAAGGCUUUGACGGGUAGCCGGCCUGAGAGGGUGACCGGCCACAUUGGGACUGAGAUACGGCCCAGACUCCUACGGGAGGCAGCAGUGGGGAAUAUUGCACAAUGGGCGGAAGCCUGAUGCAGCAACGCCGCGUGCGGGAUGACGGCCUUCGGGUUGUAAACCGCUUUCGCCUGUGACGAAGCGUGAGUGACGGUAAUGGGUAAAGAAGCACCGGCUAACUACGUGCCAGCAGCCGCGGUGAUACGUAGGGUGCGAGCGUUGUCCGGAUUUAUUGGGCGUAAAGGGCUCGUAGGUGGUUGAUCGCGUCGGAAGUGUAAUCUUGGGGCUUAACCCUGAGCGUGCUUUCGAUACGGGUUGACUUGAGGAAGGUAGGGGAGAAUGGAAUUCCUGGUGGAGCGGUGGAAUGCGCAGAUAUCAGGAGGAACACCAGUGGCGAAGGCGGCUCUCUGGGCCUUUCCUGACGCUGAGGAGCGAAAGCGUGGGGAGCGAACAGGCUUAGAUACCCUGGUAGUCCACGCUGUAAACGGUGGGUACUAGGUGUGGGGUCCAUUCCACGGGUUCCAUGCCGUAGCUAACGCUUUAAGUACCCCGCCUGGGGAGUACGGCCGCAAGGCUAAAACUCAAAGGAAUUGACGGGGCCCCGCACAAGCGGCGGAGCAUGCGGAUUAAUUCGAUGCAACGCGUAGAACCUUACCUGGGUUUGACAUGGAUCGGGAGUGCUCAGAGAUGGGUGUGCCUCUUUUGGGGUCGGUUCACAGGUGGUGCAUGGCUGUCGUCAGCUCGUGUCGUGAGAUGUUGGGUUAAGUCCCGCAACGAGCGCAACCCUUGUUCACUGUUGCCAGCACGUUAUGGUGGGGACUCAGUGGAGACCGCCGGGGUCAACUCGGAGGAAGGUGGGGAUGACGUCAAGUCAUCAUGCCCCUUAUGUCCAGGGCUUCACGCAUGCUACAAUGGCUGGUACAGAGAGUGGCGAGCCUGUGAGGGUGAGCGAAUCUCGGAAAGCCGGUCUCAGUUCGGAUUGGGGUCUGCAACUCGACCUCAUGAAGUCGGAGUCGCUAGUAAUCGCAGAUCAGCAACGCUGCGGUGAAUACGUUCCCGGGGCUUGUACACACCGCCCGUCAAGUCAUGAAAGUUGGUAACACCCGAAGCCGGUGGCCUAACCGUUGUGGGGGAGCCGUCGAAGGUGGGACUGGUGAUUAGGACUAAGUC